CGUGUAGGCGGACUGUUAAGUCGGGGGUGAAAUCCCGAGGCUCAACCUCGGAAUUGCCUUCGAUACUGGCAGUCUUUGAGUCCGGGAGAGGUGAGUGGAACUCCUAGUGUAGAGGUGAAAUUCGUAGAUAUUAGGAAGAACACCAGUGGCGAAGGCGGCUCACUGGCCCGGUACUGACGCUGUGACGCGAAAGCGUGGGGAGCAGACA
rnacentral:rRNA from 1 species